rnacentral:ncRNA from 2 species
GAGAGCCGUAUACAUGGAGACGUGUACGUACGGUUCGGAGGCGAGUUCUUGGAAACCUACCGUAGUAAUACGACAAGGCGCCGGGUACUUAGCCUAC